CUGAAUCUGGAGCCUGUGCUCUCAGUCAUCAUGCUGCAGACUGGAAAGUCUGGUCAUUUUUCAGAUGCAGUGUCACCAUCCCAUCUUGACCGCAAUUUAGCCAGGAUGCCUUCAUCACACAGCAGCUGUGAGGUGAAGAGAGCAGUGGAAAUUAGAGAUGAGCUCCGAUCUCAAAACUCUGACCAUUAAGUAGGCAGGACCUACUCAGAGAUGCUUGGAAACAUUCUGAAAAUUUAUAAUGGGACCUGUGAUGAGCACAUGGACAAAGCCUAGGGCUGGCUUUACUGGCUAGAACCCUGUAGGCCAUGGUGCUCAGUUCCUUGUGUAAAUUUCUCCAAGACUGUUCUGGUUUGGGUCACUAGUAAAUAUAAUGAAACACUAUUCCCUGCCUCACCUAACCCAGUGAUGAGCCAUGUAAUCUGGCACUGCUUCUGCUCUGCUCUGGCCAUUCCUGUGCAUUUAUAAAGUACAGGUGACUCCCCAACUCCCCCCAGAAUCAGGACUUUUCACUUUCAGAAUUCCAUCAUGUAAAACCCAAAACACAACCUCACACAGCCUUUGUCUUGCAUAUAACAGGUUCAAGAAAACUCAGAAUUGCAUCUGUCUCCCCUGGUCCAAGCCACCAGCAUCUCUUACCCAGGACACUGCAGAAGCCAUUUCCACUUUUUCUAGGUUAACUGUUUUUCUACUCUCAGCAGCUGGUAUGAUCUUUUAAAACUUCAAAGCAUUAUACUUUCUCUUGUACAAAACUCCCCAAAUGAGACUCAUCAGACCCAGACUGAUCUCCAGCCUCCUAAUCCUAGCAUUUCCUGACCUGAUUCUCGUUAAUUUCUCUGACUGUAUCUCCUGCCAGGCACAUGGCAUUUCAGGCCCUUCCAGCCUCAGGACCUCUGCACUGGCUAUGUUCCUGACCUGGCAGUAUCUUUGCCUGGGUCUUCAUGUAGCUGAUUUUUUCUUGUCGUCUCUUUCACCAAUUACAUAGCACUUCUUCAGACAGACUUCUGUGAAAAUAUAAGUAGAUCCACCUCUGAUAAAUCCCAUAUGAUUAGCUUUAUUGUAUAUUUAGCAUGUAGCUCUGUGUAAGGUCUUCUCAUUUGUUGACUAAUUAUGGGGUGUCUUAUAAGGCUGUGUGUUCCUGAGAACAGAAAAACACCUGUCCCAUUCACUGUUUUGUCCUCAGUAUCUGAAACAAUACCCAGCAAUGGUAGAUGCCCAGGACAUUAGUUAAGUGAAAGAAUGAACUUUCCCAAAGCUCUUGCAUACCAGAAUCUGCUAGUUUAAAAUGCAGCCAUAGUGUUUCAUUAGAAAUGUUUGGUUGUGGUUGAGGAGUACACUUAAGAAGUAAAAUUGGCACUUAAAGCAUGAAAUGUUGGCCUUAGUGUGCAGUGAAGUGGUGACUGUGCUGAGUCAAUGUCAAUGGGGGGAAGCCCAAGGUCACCUGUCCACAAGAAUUUCCUCAACUACACCUUUGAGGAGGAUGACUUGUGUGACAUCCAUGGAAACCAGGGUUUGUGUCCACUGUAGAUCAGAGGGAGGGCAAACCAGCCUUCAGAAAACACAGACCAAACUCUGCCCACUGACAAUACUGAUGCAUUCUAGAAAGCACUUACUGGACUCACAAUGGACAUGUUUGAAUCCUGGGAGAAGCCAACAAAAUUGAGACAUGUUGGAAAUCCAUGAGGAGUCUUACCAGAGCAUAGUGGCUGGCUUAUGAGGAAAGACAUAAUGGGGAACAUAGGACAGUAAAAUGUGUUUGAAAAUGUUUUCUUUUAAAAGUUUGAAUUGACUUGUGUGUUGCUUA
rnacentral:lncRNA from 1 species